GGAUUUUCCCAGCACCUGUUCUAUUUCAGGUGUUUCUGGCUGCUUCCCAAAAGCAGAACAUUAUAGCACCCAUUUAAAGUGGAGGCAGCUGAAACCCAACGGAAACUGCAGUCAUUUGCCCCAGGUUCCCAGCUGCCAUGUGGUGGAAGUGGCAUUUUGACCCUGAAUCUCACUCGCUUUUCAUGACCCUUUACUGCGCCCCCCCCACCUGUGGAACAGCAGACACUCGCGGGUCUGUGGCCCCUGGAAUGACUUCAGAAAUUUCCUCCUCGUCCCUCGUCAUAAUCCAGCAGCUUCCUCUGACCCCACUGGGCUACAGGUGGAGCUAGAGGCUCGGGAAGACAAGGAAGGCAGCUGAGGCCGUGAGCAGUGGGGAUGGGCCGGGGUAAGGGCCAGCUUCCUCCCUCUGUGGCUGCCAGAGAGACCCCAGGAGUGCGGGAGACAGACCCCCGAGAGGCCGGCCAGCAACACGCAGCCAGGCCUCCCGCCUCCCAGGAUUGAUGUGGUCUGCCUGCAGCCUGCCUGCCCUCUCCCUCUGCUUCUGCCUCCGCUCAAUGCCGCAGCCGUUCGGAACCGCCUGCAGCUCUGCCAACCCCGUGCUCUCCGUCUCAGGGCCUGCGUCCUGCUCCUCUGUCUGCCCCAUCACCUCGCCCCGCCUCCUGGCCCCCCAGGGCUCAAUGCAAACACCGUUUCCUCCAAGAGGUUGUUCCGGAGCCUCCAGUGGGUUGUCCGGGGCUUUUUCUGGUCCUCACACAGUGCGUCUUCCUGACUCGCACCCCGACUGUGUCCCCAGCCUGAUCCCCUUCCAGGCCUCCUCUGCCUGGACCCCGGGACCCAGGGCCGGCCGCCUUCAGCAGCGUGUGCCCAGGGUCUGGCCCAGGCCCGGCUCGGGGUGGAAGUUCAGUAAACAGCCCUUGGGAAGAGGGAGUGGAUCUGCUAGUGGGACGGCAGCAGCGUCCUGAUGCUGUGACCGACCCCCCCAUCCUGACUACGAGGGAUGACUGUCUUCCUGUUACAGGUGACACCUGUCCCCUCCCUGAAGGCCUGACCAGGAGCUCUUUCAUGAGGCUUUACAGGCCGAGGGCGACAAAACAUCCAGGAGAGGGGCAGGGUGGACACUGGCCGCACGCGGGUGAUGUGGGCCACGGUCACUUUGAAUAAAACUUAGUUUUAACAUUAAGACAUAUUUUACCUCCCGUUACGACAAAAGUUAGUUGGGGUGUCGUGGGGAAGGGUUCUACCAAAUUAGGCUGAAUACGGAGAGGACCUACUCCCCUUGGCGGAAUAGAGUCUGCAAAGCCGGGCCCCCACCCGGAGCCCCUCGGAGGCCCUCAGAGCGGACGCAGGCGCCUGGCGGGGCAGGCAGCCGGGCCCCACCCGCCGGCACACACCGGUUCUGGAAGGCCCAAGGCUCCUCUGGCUCCUGUUGUGGGAGCGGGUAGUGUCUCCGCCACCAG
rnacentral:lncRNA from 1 species